rnacentral:rRNA from 1 species
AUGCGGUUUUCUUUGUUUUUCAUGAGACUACGAUCCAAUGAGAUCGUAAGAUCGAAUUUCCCUAGAGUAACUUCACAAGCCACACGGACAAGGGUUGGUGAAGCCGGCGAUCCAUGCCUGACGUCCUCCGGCCUUCCACGCAGCGGAGUCAGCGGCCGCCGCCGCUCCAGCUCACACGUGCGCCGCCACCACGUGUCGCCCCGCGCCGAGCACCGCCGCGGUAUCUGUAAAGACGCCCUUGUCGCCUCCCGGAAUCACCCCACCACCCCGCGCAUUUAUUCCCCUCCCGUCCUCGCCCCCGCGCCAUGCCGUCGCGCCCCUCCUCCCCUCCCACGCCCGCCUCUCCGCCCGUCCGACACCGCCCGUCCCACGCUGGCGCCGCCCCCCUCCGCCGUCGCCGUCGCCGCCACCAUGCCGGAGCCUGACGACGAGGGGGCGGGGCAGCAGCAGCAGCCGAAGGGGGGACCCGCGCUCGAGGGCCUCGUGGUGGGGAGCUACUGCCACGACGUGCUCCUCCGGGGCGGCCGCGUCGUGGGCGAGACGCUCGGCGGCGCGGCGGCCUUCGUCUCCAACGUGCUCGACGCCGCGUCGCCCCCGGACGCCUCCUUCGCCGUCGUGUCCAAGGUCGGGCCCGACUUCGCCUACGCCUCCGCGCCGGCGCCCGCGCGGCACCCGCCGCUGCUCUGCCCCGCGCGGCCCACCACCUCCUUCCACGCCCGGUUCUCCGACGCGGCCGCGUCCGCGCACGCGCCCGACAGGCAGCUCAGGCGCGUCCACGCCUGCGAUCCGAUCUACCCCGAGGACCUCCCCGACCGCCGCUUCGCCUACGGCCUCGCCGUCGGCGUCGCCGGGGAGGUGCUGCCGGAGACGCUCGAGCGGAUGAUUCGGCUCUGCCGCGCGGUGCUCGUGGACGCGCAGGCGCUGAUCCGGGCCUUCGACGCAGAGGGCGACGGCAGCGGCGCUGCCGUCCGCCACGUGGCGCUGGAGGAUACGCCGUACGCGCGGCUUCUGCAGCGGGUAGCGUUCCUCAAGGCGUCGUCGGAGGAGGCGCCGUACGUGGGGGUGGAGACGGCGAGACGGUGCUGCUGCGUGAUCGUGACGGAGGGGAGGGAUGGGUGCCGGCUGUAUUGGGACGGCGGGGAGGCACGCGUGGCGCCGUUCCCCGCCGUCCAGGUGGAUCCUACAGGUGCCGGAGACAGCUAUCUCGCCGGUUUCGCGGCCGGUCUGCUUUGGGGGCUCUCAGCUACGGACGCUGCGCUGCUUGGUAACUUCUUCGGCGCAGCUGCUGUCUCCCAAGUCGGCGUUCCCACCUUCCAUCCCAAGAUGUUGCAGGCUGUCAGACGGAUACUCGAGGACAAGGCGAUACCACGGUCUAGUCCAUGUAUAAACGGCGCCACCUUCACCUUCCAGAGAUCGAUUAUGCACGAUGAGCUACACGCAUCCCUGGAGGAAGCAGCGAGGCUGAUGCGCGAUCAGUCACCACCAGCAACUGAAAACGGCGAUGGUAUUCUCUCGGCACAAGAGCCGACUUCACCGCCAAGUGGAUGCUGA